CAGUCGCCGCGGGAAUACGAAGGGGGCUAGCGUUGCUCGGAAUGACUGGGCGUAAAGGGCGCGUAGGCGGUUUUGACAGUCAGAUGUGAAAUCCCGGGGCUCAACCCCGGAACUGCAUCCGACACUGCCAUGCUAGAGGAUUGGAGAGGUAGCUGGAAUUCUUGGUGUAGCAGUGAAAUGCGUGGAGAUCAAGAGGAACACUCGUGGCGAAGGCGAGCUACUGGACAAUAACUGACGCUGAGGCUCGAAGGCCAGGGUAGCGAAAGGGAUUAGAUACCCGUGUAGUCCCUGUCUCUUAUAC
rnacentral:rRNA from 1 species